rnacentral:tRNA from 1 species
GGCUCCUCGCCUAGGUGAGGCCGUUUUGCCUGAAGAGCGGACCGAUUGGCAAGCAGGAUGUCAGGAGUUCGAAUCUCCUAGGCUCCACC